CUUAAGCUUUGACUGUUUUAGAUCGAGGCACACCGGCGCUACGCACUUCGCUGCAAGUUCAGCCCUGACUCGCGACUGCUGGCCACUACGUCGGCCGAUGGCUCGGCGAGAGUGUGGCGCACGAAGGACUUCAGCCUCAAGCAAGUGUUCAAGCUGGACGGCCAGCGAUGGGUGUGGGAUGUCGCUUUCAGUGCUGACUCCCAGUAUAUCUUCACUGCAUCAUCCGACAACUUCGCGAGACUGUGGAAUGUAGAAAAAGGGACUGUUGAACGAGAAUACAAUGGACAUCAGAGGGCAGUUACAGCCCUUGCUUUGUGUGACGAAGUGGUUACUACUGAGGCGGUAGUCCCGUGAACAGCAACACUUCAACAAAUAAUUGAAUUUAUUAAUAAAUAGGCAUUUGUAUGCUUGUUUGUACGUGAAAAACUUGACAAAAGCCAAACUUUCUCUAUAGUUUGUAUAAAAUAA